UACGUGGGGGGCAAGCGUUGUUCGGAAUUACUGGGCGUAAAGGGCUCGUAGGUGGCCAACUAAGUCAGACGUGAAAUCCCUCAGCUUAACUGGGGAACUGCGUCUGAUACUGGAUGGCUUGAGAUUGGGAGAGGGAUGCGGAAUUCCAGGUGUAGCGGUGAAAUGCGUAGAUAUCUGGAGGAACACCGGUGGCGAAGGCGGCAUCCUGGACCAACACUGACACUGAGGAGCGAAAGCCAGGGGAGCAAACGGG
rnacentral:rRNA from 1 species